GAUCAACCAAAAUUCAGUAUUUUUACUCAGCUAUCGAAGUUGCUGUAGCAACUUCAACUGUUGUUGCAGCAACUUCGACUGUUGCUGCUAUAACUUCGACACUUACUUAAUUUUUGAAAAAAGAUCUGAUUGGAGGAGGAGCCCACAGAAAAGUGAUAUUUAUGAUAAAAAUAGAGGUGGUGGUGCUGGUGGUGACGCCGAAUGAAAAGAUGACAUUUGUUGUAGGGUUGAUAGCGACGGUGGUAGAGGAGAAAGAAUAAAAAUAAGCGAUCGUUAUGUAGAGAGAGAAAAUAAUGGUGAAUCUGAAAGAGGUGGCAAUGGUAGUGAUAGUGAUAGUGGAGGAAGAGGAGGUGGCAACUGCGGGCGACAACAAAAAGGG
rnacentral:lncRNA from 1 species